GAGAAACUUGGAUCAAGCUAACCAGUGUUUUUGAGUAAGCUCGAGAUCCUUACAAAAUUAAGUCAAUGCCAAAAUAUUACAAACUAUCAGGAAUGAAAAUAAAAACUCAAUUCAAGAAUGAACAUAUGGAUUUAUUCAAAGUAUGAGGAUGCUAUACAUAAAAUAUAAGAAUAAUAUAAAAUAAUUCAAGAAGUCAGCGAGAGCUGUUAUAAACUAUCAGCAUUUAAUAAAAUUAAAAGUUGAAUCUGUUAAUGAAUUAUAUUCCGUACAAAUAGCAAAAUUAUCAAUUAAUUUAUAUGAAAAAUUUCUUUGUAAAUAAAAUAAAAAUUUGAAAUGAUAUAA
rnacentral:lncRNA from 1 species